rnacentral:sRNA from 1 species
GCUGGGUGUGGUGGUGCAUUCCUGUAAUCCCAGUGACUUGGGAGGUUGAGGCAGGAUGUUCAAGGACAGCCUUGGCAAUCUAGUGAGAUUCUGUCUUAA